rnacentral:tRNA from 1 species
UGUCCUGUGGCUUAGUUAGUUUAAGCGCCGGUUUAGUGAAUAAGGAGUCGCGGGUUCGAAUCCCACUAGAACGA